GGUGAACGCUGGCGGCGUGCUUAAGACAUGCAAGUCGAACGCAGUCUUCGGACUGAGUGGCGCACGGGUGAGUAACACGUAACUGACCUACCCCCAAGUCGCGAAUAACCAGCCGAAAGGAUGGCUAAUACGUGAUGUGAUGAUCCGCUGUGGCGGAUCAUUAAAGACUUGAUCGCUUGGGGAUGGGGUUGCGUUCCAUCAGCUAGUUGGUAAGGUAAAGGCUUACCAAGGCAACGACGGAUAGCCGGCCUGAGAGGGUGGCCGACCACAGGGACACUGAGACCCGGGUCCCACUCCUACGGGAGGCGGCAGUUAGGAAUCUUCCACAAUGGGCGCAAGCCUGAUGGAGCGACGCCGCGUGAGGGAUGAAGGUUCUCGGAUCGUAAACCUCUGAACCAACGACGAAAGACCCGACAAGGGAGAUGACGGUAGUUGGGUAAUAGCACCGGCUAACUCCGUGCCAGCAGCCGCCGUAAAAC
rnacentral:rRNA from 1 species